rnacentral:misc_RNA from 1 species
CUACAAUUAACAUUCCAUGAAUUCGAUUACCGAUAUUCAAAUCUUCUCCACCUUGUGGGGCUUCACAAUCGGAUUGGCUUUUGCAAUCGCAUCCUGCCCCUCACCCUUGUAAUCAAAGGGACACCCAUGCUUGUCAGAGUACCGAUGAAUAGAACAGUAGACAUCGCCGCAUUUGCACUUGAAACCCAUCAGCCCCACCCGCUUGUUGCAGAAGCUGCACCGGUUCGCCGG